rnacentral:rRNA from 1 species
UGCCCUGGCAGUCAGAGGCGAUGAAGGGCGUACUAAUCUGCGAUAAGCGCCGGUAAGGUGAUAUGAACCGUUAUAACCGGCGAUACCCGAAUGGGGAAACCCAGUGUGAUUCGUCACACUAUCAUUAACUGAAUCCAUAGGUUAAUGAGGCGAACCGGGGGAACUGAAACAUCUAAGUACCCCGAGGAAAAGAAAUCAACCGAGAUUCCCCCAGUAGCGGCGAGCGAACGGGGAGGAGCCCAGAGCCUGAAUCAGCAUGUGUGUUAGUGGAAGCGUCUGGAAAGGCGCGCGAUACAGGGUGACAGCCCCGUACACAAAAGCGCAUGUGCUGUGAGCUCGAUGAGUAGGGCGGGACACGUGGUAUCCUGUCUGAAUAUGGGGGGACCAUCCUCCAAGGCUAAAUACUCCUGACUGACCGAUAGUGAACCAGUACCGUGAGGGAAAGGCGAAAAGAACCCCGGCGAGGGGAGUGAAAAAGAACCUGAAACCGUGU